CUCAUCCUCGAGCCCCACUACUCAGAGGAGCUGGGAAGAAUUUCCACCCUUCCUAGUGGCAAGUCUCACUGUGAGAGCAGAGUGCCACCAGGCAAACAGGGCAGAAAGACUGCUUUAAGGAGAAUCCUUAUAUUGGGGGUUAUGAAGUGCAAUACACCCUCAUCCUCACGCUAACACUGGUACCAUGUAGCCCAAGCUUGUCUAACCUGCAGCCCGCGGGCUGUGUAUGGCCCAGGACAGCUUUGAAUGUGGCCCAACGCAAAUUUGUAAACUUUCUAAAACAUUAUGAGAUUUUUUUUUUUCUCAUCAGCUAUCAUUAGUGUGAGUGUAUGUUAUUUGUGACUCCAGACAAUUCUUCUUUUCCAAUGUGGCCCAGAGAAGCCAAAAGACUGGACACCCCUGAUGUGGCCCUUUCAUCCAUAGUAGCCUAUUUUGUCCUAAAGACGGUCUUGUGCAUUGAGUAGGCCAGGCCUCCACACUACCACAGUUUACAGGCAAGGAAUGUGAUAUUUCAUAGGAUGACCCUGACUGGCACCUACAUUGCUAGCCAAAGAAUGGCACAAAGAUGUGGACAGAAGAGACAACCUUAAGCAGCUGACUGCUGGCUCCUGCAACAGUGUCAUCAUGGCAUUUGUCCUGGGGUCCCAAGGAAAGAAAACAAAUCUGCGGCUGAGGAACAGGCUGAGUUGACAAAGCGGCUUCCACAGUAACAUAAGGACAAAGGGUGUAUGUAGAUAUGCACGUGGUAGCAGGUUCUACUAAAGGAACCUGGACCGACCAUUCUUACUCACAUUCUUUGGGAGCUGUAUUCUAAUACUUUCAGAAAAGCCAUGGGAACACACCAGAGUGACUGCUCGAGUAAAUAAGUAGCAUACACAGCAAGCCAAACCAUUGAUGUACACAUCACUGGGCCCAAUACUAUGAAAUCUCACAUAAGAAACUUGAAAGUGAAAGGUGGAAUUCUGAGGAUACUGGUUUUGCUUAAUAAACAGCAUUUCAACAGGUGAGUCAACUUAGUA
rnacentral:lncRNA from 1 species